rnacentral:rRNA from 1 species
CCUGUAUGAAGUUGGAAUCGCUAGUAAUCGCGGAUCAGCAUGCCGCGGUGAAUACGUUCCCGGGCCUUGUACACACCGCCCGUCACACCAUGAGAGUCGGGAACACCCGAAGUCCGUAGCCUAACCGCAAGGGGGCGCGGCCGAAGGUGGGUUCGAUAAUUGGGGUGAAGUCGUAACAAGGUAAC